rnacentral:rRNA from 1 species
UAAAGCUAAUAAGGGCAUAGGGUGGAUGCCUUGGCACCAAGCGCCGAAGAAGGACGUGACAAGCUGCGAUAAGCUGCGGGGAGCUGCAAAUGAGCCUCGAUCCGCAGAUUUCCGAAUGGGGAAACCCACCGUUGGUAAUGCGACGGUAUCACCGCAUGAACACAUAGUGCGGUAGAAGGGAACCCGGGGAACUGAAACAUCUUAGUACUCGGAGGAAAAGAAAGUAAAUCAACGAUUUCGUGAGUAGUGGUGAGCGAAAGCGAAAGAGCCCAAACCGGAGAAAUUUAUUUCGAUGGGGUUUUGGACCUGCAUAAUUCGAAGAAUCGAUAGCCGAACACGGUUGGAAAACCGGGCGAAACAAAGUAAUAGCCUUGUAAGCGAAAUCGAUUUCAGAUGGCGGGUAUCCGGAGUACCACGGGACACGUGUAAUCCAGUGGGAAUAUGUGAGGACCAUCUCAUAAGGCUAAAUACGACUUGGUGACCGAUAGCGUAUAGUACCGUGAGGGAAAGGUGAAAAGAACCCCGGGAGGGGAGUGAAAGAGAACCUGAAACCCUAUGCUUACAAGCAGACGCAGCACUACUUAAAGUGUGGCGUCGUACUUUUUGUAGAACGGGCCGGCGAGUUACGUUGCGUAGCGAGGUUAAGUGAUUAAGUCACGGAGCCGUAGCGAGAGCGAGUCUUAACCGGGCGAUUUAGUUGCGUGACGUAGACCCGAAACCGGAUGACCUAUCCAUGGACAGGUUGAAGCAGUGGUAAGACACUGUGGAGGACCGAACCCACGUUCGUUGAAAGGACCGGGGAUGAGCUGUGGAUAGCGGAGAAAUUCCAAUCGAAUCCGGAUAUAGCUGGUUCUCCUCGAAAUAGCUUUAGGGCUAGCCUCUCGUUAGAGUACUGAUGGUAGAGCACUGAAUGGGCUAGGGGGCUUCACAGCUUACUGAACCUUAUCAAACUUCGAAUGUCAGAUACUUGAUGCGAGGGAGUCAGACAGCGUGAGAUAAGUUUCGUUGUCAAAAGGGAAACAGCCCAGAUCUACAACUAAGGUCCCUAAGUACAAGUUAAGUGGUAAAGGAUGUGCCAAUGCUAAGACAACCAGGAUGUUGGCUUAGAAGCAGCCACUCAUUCAAAGAGUGCGUAAUAGCUCACUGGUCGAGUGAGGGUGCGCCGAAGAUUACCGGGGCUAAAACUUGUCACCGAAGUUUAGGGAUGCAGCUUGCUGCAUCGGUAGAGGAGCAAUGUAUGCGGGCAGAAGCGAUAUCGAAAGGGGUCGUGGACUGCAUACAAGAGAGAAUGCCGGCAUAAGUAGCGAGAGCAAAGUGAGAAUCUUUGCCGUCGAAUGCCUAAGGUUUCCUGGGGAAGGUUCGUCCUCCCAGGGUAAGUCGGGACCUAAGCCGAGGCCGAAAGGCGUAGGUGAUGGACAACAGGUAGAUAUUCCUGUACCGCCAAAUGACGUUUAAAUGAGGCAAUGACACAGUAGGAUAGUCGAACCGCGGCGUUGGAUUGCUGCGGCCAAAUCAUGAGGCUGACGCGUAGUGAAGUACGCGCGUCGUAAGGCUGGGUGAUGACGGGGAGUGAAAACUAGUAACGAAGUCGAUGAAUUCACACUGGCGAGAAAAGUUGCUAAAUAUGUUGUUAGGCGCCCGUACCGCAAACCGACACAGGUGGGCGAGGAGAAAAUCCUAAGACGGACGGGAGAACCCUUGUUAAGGAACUCUGCAAAAUGACCCCGUAACUUCGGGAGAAGGGGAGCCUGCUAUGCAGGCCGCAGUGAAGAGGCCCAAGCGACUGUUUACCAAAAACACAGGUCUCUGCUAAAUCGAAAGAUGAAGUAUAGGGGCUGACGCCUGCCCAGUGCUGGAAGGUUAAGGGGAUGUGUUAGCGCAAGCGAAGCACGGAACUUAAGCCCCAGUGAACGGCGGCCGUAACUAUAACGGUCCUAAGGUAGCGAAAUUCCUUGUCAGGUAAG